rnacentral:rRNA from 1 species
CCUACGGGUGGCAGCAGUGGGGAAUAUUGGACAAUGGGCGAAAGCCUGAUCCAGCCAUGCCGCGUGUGUAAAGAAGGCCUUCGGGUUGUAAAGCACUUUCAGUGGGGAAGAAAGCCUUGGGGCUAAUACCCUCGAGGAAGGACAUCACCCACAGAAGAAGCACCGGCUAACUCCGUGCCAGCAGCCGCGGUAAUACGGAGGGUGCGAGCGUUAAUCGGAAUUACUGGGCGUAAAGCGCGCGUAGGCGGUCUGAUAAGCCGGUUGUGAAAGCCCCGGGCUCAACCUGGGAACGGCAUCCGGAACUGUCAGGCUAGAGUGCAGGAGAGGAAGGUAGAAUUCCCGGUGUAGCGGUGAAAUGCGUAGAGAUCGGGAGGAAUACCAGUGGCGAAGGCGGCCUUCUGGACUGACACUGACGCUGAGGUGCGAAAGCGUGGGUAGCAAACAGGAUUAGAUACCCUUGUAGUC